GUGGUUUAUUGAUCAGUAGGUUGUUGCCAAUAGAACUCAUGUUGGGUAUUUUGUUUGUUUGGGUUAAAUAGCAAAAACUACUACAUGCCGAUUGGACAAACGAUGUUUUAUGGUAAUUAAAGCAUCGUCUUUAAGCGGGAAGAAGCUUUAAGGGAGCCAGAGGUGCCACAUAAAACCAUAUGCUAAAAUUGCGGCUGGUAUCGACGCAUUUCCUCAAACAGCCGUAGAUGUGACAAUGUGUCGCGACCGAGAUAUGCACAAUUAAUUUUAGAUCACCGUAUUUUCCUGCUUCAUCAGAGCUUCAUUUCGUCUUUGGUGUCCAACCCAUUAAUCUGCACCAGCAAAUUGCUAUCUUCACACCGCCCUCCAGUGCAAUGAAGAGCGGUAUACCCAACGUAGAUACGGUAUCCAGAAGCCAAGUCGAUUCCAAAUUGAUCAAGGUGAAGAAAAUUUCGUUGCCUGUUCCCAUAAAGCCGGUGGUUUUUUCACUCACCUUCGACGAAGCGAAAUCCUCCAGCAAGUUGCGCAAGAGGAAGGAGAGACAGGAAAGCGUUAGUUCGACCAAACAAGACCGAAAGGUAAUUCGUUUCCACCGAGGAUC